AGAGUGAACGCUGGCGGCAGGCCUAACACAUGCAAGUCGAACGGCAGCACAGGGGAGCUUGCUCCCUGGGUGGCGAGUGGCGGACGGGUGAGGAAAACGUCGGAAUCUGCCUAUUUGUGGGGGAUAACGUAGGGAAACUUACGCUAAUACCGCAUACGACCUACGGGUGAAAGCGGAGGACCUUCGGGCUUCGCGCAGAUAGAUGAGCCGACGUCGGAUUAGCUAGUUGGCGGGUAAAGCCCACCAAGGCGACGAUCCGUAGCUGGUCUGAGAGGACGAUCAGCCACACUGGAACUGAGACACGGUCCAGACUCCCGACGGGAGCAGCAGUGGGAAUAGUUGGACAAGUGGGCGCGAAGCCUGGACUCCGAGCCAUGCCGCGUGUGUGAAGAAGGCCUUCGGUUGAAGUCUA
rnacentral:rRNA from 1 species